rnacentral:lncRNA from 1 species
CUUGCCUCUGGGAUGCCAAGCACCUAUUAGAUGUCUUCUGUAUGCACGGCACAGCCCCAGCCCCCACGGCGAGGCUCCCUCACGGUUCCACAGAGCUGUCCUCUGAGGAGGGGAGGCCAGAGACUCACCUGCGGGUCUCGACUCCAUCGCCCCUCGGUUGGUUGCACCCGUGACCACGUUGAUACGAAGCUCUCUGGGAGGGCAACACCUGGCCUGUUGUCUUUCCUGCCCAGGUCACCGCCCGUGUACUCAGAGCAUGCUCCGCGCCAGGCCCUGCUAGGUGCCCAGAACAUGAGACUUGAGAUGGGUUGAGUGGAAGCCCAGAAAGACGGAAACAGGAGGCACGGAAUGGUGCCUGGAGAGCAGCGUGGGCGGGGGGCGAGGAGAGCACCUGAUCCCACACACACUUUGGCUUCGUCAGCAGGGAGCAGGAGCGGGUGGCUUUGUGCCGAGGAUGGCCAGCAUCGUGAAGCACAUCUCAGAUGCCGGCACAGCGCUGUGCAGACAGGAGGAAGCAGUUCUGGGUCCGGCGUGUCUGAGAGCCUGGGCUCUGUGGUGCACCCUCCAGGGCCUGGUUCCAAACCCUCUUCACCUCCUUUCCUGGUCUGUAGAAACCGGGCUGUGAGGUCCGAUGGCACAGUGCUGCUGGGAGCGUCUGCCCAGUGGCUUCACGUAACGGAGGCACUGUCAGGGUUCCAGGCCUGGCGCCGCCACUAACUCUGGUCCUUGGGCAGUAAAUUGGUUUAGACCUCAAGGGUCUCACCUGAGGAUUAGACGACGCGUGUGACCCUUCAGCACAGGCCCUGGCACAGGAAAGCACUCGGGAAGUGCUGGCCAGCACCACGCCGUCCUCCAGACCACCGGCUCCCAACAGAAGGGCCAAUUCUUCGAGGCAGGCCCUUUAACCCCUCUUCAAACCCGAGUUCCUGCUCCUCGGGUGAGAACCAGGGCACACGGCGCUGUCCCAUGGUGCCCCCUUCCCAGGCUGUGCCGGGGAUCGGAACAUGCGCCCCAAGCCCACCACUCUGGCAUGGGGCUUAUCUUGAGCUGAAGGCGGCUGAGAAGAAGCAGACCCAGGGCAGCUCUCUGGGCUCCCGGUCUCCACCAGGAAGGGCAGGCUGACUCUUCGUCACAGCAGACGGCUCUCGACUCGGCAGCGCAGGGUCGACACCAGAGGAACCCAGGGGACUUCAUCUGUGAUGACGUGCUGCUGCCAACAGCGCGAUGCUGAGUAGCAAGGAGCAUGCACCAGGACCCAACGCCGAGCCCCCCGCGGAAGAGUGUGAGCCUCCAGGACAAGCUUCCAGGGACGUAUGCAGACCUUUUCAGUGACACGCCCCUCGCCUUUCC